rnacentral:rRNA from 1 species
GAGUUUGAUUCUGGCUCAGAUUGAACGCUGGCGGCAUGCUUUAACAUGCAAGUCGAACGGCAGCAUAGGUGCUUGCACCUGAUGGCGAGUGGCGAACGGGUGGUAAUAUAUCGGAACAUGUCCGGAAGUGGGGGAUAACGUAGCGAAAGUUACGCUAAUACGCAUAUGCCCUGAGGGGGAAAGGAGGGGAUCGUAAGACCUUUCGCUUUCGGAGUGGCCGUAUCAGAUUAGCUAGUUGGUGAGGUAAAGGCUCACCAAGGCAACGAUCUGUAGCGGGUCGAGAGGAUGAUCCGCCACACUGGGACUGGGACACGGCCCAGACUCCUACGGGAGGCAGCGUGGGGAAUUUUGGACAAUGGGCGAAAGCCUGAUCCAGCCAUGCCGCGUGAGUGAAGAAGCCUUCGGGUUGUAAAGCUCUUUCAGCCGGAAAGAAAUCAUGCUUACUAAUACUAAGUGGGAUGACGGUACCGGAAGAAGAAGCACCGGCUAACUACGUGCCAGCAGCCGCGGUAAU